AGUCAUGAUGGCUAUUUCCAUUGAAUAGUGAUUGUGAUUAGCGAGGCGCUCGUGUUGCAGCACGGGCGUCUUGCGUU
rnacentral:antisense_RNA from 24 species